CGGGGCCUGGAAGAGAAGGCAAACUCCACUUUUGGAUACGGUAGCCAGGGCUCGCCUCUAUCUCUCCUGUAAGCCUACACUGCACCGCACAAAAAGCUACAGAAAGACAUAAUCAUUAAGGAGAAAAAGACAUGGCACCCAGCGAGCGACCCCAGCAGCUCCGGCAGCCGUGGCGCCGGGGGCCGGCGGCACAGGUGUGGAGGGAGCGCCGGGGCCCGCCCGCCGAGCUCGGUGGCCUGCGGAGCGCUCAGGCCGCGGCGGGGCCGUGCCCCGGCGGCUCCUCGGCCAGGUCUCUCCAUAAUCUACAAACCUGCUAGAAGAGAACGUGGUGUGAGGUCUCAUCAUGCAGAUCUUGUGUGGACGGCUGUGACGGGAACUCAAACAAUGCCUUGCAACUGAGACAAGCCAUGGGUGUCUAGUCAGUUCUCAAGUCUCAGCUGGUAAUCAGUAAUUAAAUAAAAAGCAUCCAGUGUUGAAUCACUUCUAAGUCGCUGCUGAUUUUUGUAGAGUUGAUCUGCCUCCCAUCACGCCAAAGGCGAAGGAAUUGCAGCUCUCACUCGAGCCAAGACAAGCUGUAAUUAGCACAGAGGAUA